rnacentral:rRNA from 1 species
CAACUCUUAGCGGGGAUCACUCGGCUCGUGUGUCGAUGAAGAGGAAGCAGCUAUCUGCGAGAACUAAUGUGAAUUGCAGGACACAUUGAUCAUCGACACUUUGAACGGACUUUGCGGUCCCAGGCUCCUCCCGUGGCCACGCCUGUCUGAGGGUCGGCU